rnacentral:lncRNA from 1 species
AGGAUGAAGGAAGAGUUAAAAGAACUUAGUGCAGGAGGAUCGGUGGCGCGGUAGCCAUUCAUUUCAAAAGCUCGAGACAUUAGAAAUACACAAUCAAUUUAUUUAAAGUGUCCAGAUACAGCAUUCACUUAUUUCGAUUGUGACUCAACCCAUCUAGUCUUAAUUACACCAUUUCGAACAUGACUUAGCCCACUUUGCCUCGCUCCACAUAGCAGAAUGCUGGCCCAUUUAAGCCAAUAUUUAGAAUUUCUACUCCUGCACUUAUUUAUUAAUUUAAAUUAUAUAAAUAAUAGAUGUUCCAUAAAAAUUUAUAUAAUAAAAAAUAGUGUUUUCAUACUAUAUUUGAUACGUAACUCAAUGUCACAGACUUAAAGCGAAAUCGUUUAUCUAGCUCGUACGCCGCUCGUCUUCCUUCGCGAAAUGUGCAACUUCGCUGAAAGGAGAUUUGGGAAAAAAGUAGUGCCAAAAAGGGCACACAGGGGGAUAUGGAAAUGUUGACCAUCGUUGCAACGUGGUGGGUAUUAUGGUUGGAGCGCAACAAAAGAAUUUUUCAGCAAUCAAGACGGGUGCUGGGGAGUCUAUUUUUGGAGAUCAGAGUGCUUAGAGACUCGUGGAAUCGUUCAUGUAGUUGAUAUGUGAUGUUUUUGUUUUUCUUUUUGGAUUUCUUUCUCUUUUCUUCUUUUCUUUUCUCUUUUGUCUUUCUUUUGUUUUUCUCUUGUACCUUAAGUUUGUCUUUUUCUUUUCCUC